UGCUGCGGAGCACGCGGGGCUGGCCGCUCUUCCCCUUCCCGCCACUCAGGCUGCUCACAGAGCAUUCGAGUCCUCGGACACGCAGCAAUGAGCAGGGCGGUAAAAAUGUCAGCCUGACGUGCUCAGGUGGAAAACGGCGUGGAAGGGCAAAUCCUCUGUUACUACCAGGAGCUGAAGAGGCUGCUGCUCUUGCCAAGAAAGUGUAGUCAGGUUGCUGUCACACAUAGGACAGGCAAGGACUGAUAUCCAGGGCCAGCAGGAGUGAUGCUUCUCGUGUGUGCAUGGCACUUCAAGAUUUGGGGUCCUAAGGGCCUCAAGAACAGCUUUUCUCUGAGUGCAUUUCGCUUCUCAUCAGCAGGCAGCUGAAAAAUUGGUCUCAUACUGGUUAUGUGUGGAAAGCAGAACAAUAUGCCAAGACAAGAUGAAACAGAUGUUUCAGGUCUCCAUUACAAUUCAGACAGAAAUUUAAAUCAGCUGAAAACAUCAGAACAAAAUGUUUUGAAUGCGUGCAGAGAUCUAAAGCAAGUCAUCUGGAGCUCUGGGAGCCUGGCGUCCCACAGACUGGAUUCCAAACUUGCUCAAGAUAUUUGUGUAAAUAGGACUAUUGACACAGAGAAUAUCACAAUGAAUCUCAAAGUUGUGCUGUAUUUGUAUUCAUCCUUGUAUUCCAAUGAAAGGUUUAUCUUUCUGAAUUAGAGUUUCUUAGAGCCAAUUCCAAAAUUAGAUGUAGAGAAGGACCAAUAACUUCAGUAAAAAAGAUGAAGGGUCACCUCUUCCCUACCCUUACAGGCAGGACAUGACAGAUGCCAGUUGGAACAAUUUUCUACUAAAAAAUGAGUUUUGAGAGAACAAAUAUUUUCAUAGAAAGAGUUUGCUUUCCUCCAAAUAUUACUCCCUUUCAUAAGCCCCAAAGACUUAAAAGCAAAGAGAUUUGAUUGUUGGCAGUUUGGGGAUUCUUCCCCUCCCUUUCCCCCAGCAUUUUCCAAUGGAAAAUAUUCAGGGUUUGGGUUUUUAGCCCUUUGCUAGAAUGUCAACAUUUUCCAAAGGCUGAAGGAGGGAAAAAGAGAAGAAAAGAAAAACAUGUUCUGACCAGCUCCAGUCAGAGCCAAAUGGCUCAAUUCUGGAUAUGGUCAGGGAAGUAUGCUGGAGGGGAGAAAAUGGGAGCGCCUUGGUUCCAAGCACAGUCUGGGCUGAGGACUGUGUAUCACAAUCCAUUUGUAUGAGUCAUUCCAGUCGACAUUUCACCAGGGGAGCAUGUGUAGUGGCUUUUAAGCACUUCAGGUCAAUAUGUUACUUGCAAACACUGCCUCAUUGCUUACUACGGCCACUUCGGCUCUCUGUGUGCAUGUGGGUUGUGCACAGGUACAUUCUGUUCAAGUCCCCAAUAUUUCCAUGACGUCUUUAACUCACAGAGGUAACAAUAACACAAUAGCACCUAUCCAGACCUGUGAAUUCAGCUCUCCCCCAUUCAUAAAAGAGGAGAAAGAAGUAGAACUGAGCCUACAAAAGCCUCGGACAGCUAUGGAAUUGGGAGAAGCACUGUUAGAACUAAGUUGACAUAAAGGCAGCUAAACUACUCAUGCAUGUGCAUGUACCAUCCUGCUUUUAGUGGAAAAGAAAUGGCUUCAUUUCUCCAAUGUGCUGCUGGUCCCCAGCUGCUUCCUCAGUCUCCAGAAAGCUAUCCCAGCAUUUGGGCACCUUCAAAUCUGAUGAAGAGAAGGACUACCUUUGCUUCUGCCUCUCCAAGGUGUCUCCCAGACCUGCAACGGGAGAGUUCUUGUAUGGAAGACCCAGACUAGGUCUUUGUCCCCCUCUAGUGACUUGACUGCAAAAGAAGUUUUCUGAGUACUACCUCCAAGCAAGACAGUCCUUACUUUAGGCCAGGAUGUUGAACGGUUUCUUUUUCAAAGGCUAGUAGGAUAUCUAAGCAUCACGGGAAGGUCAUAUAUUUAUACACACUGAAACAUUAUCCAUUAACAACAUAAACAUUAAUUAGGAACUUGACUUUCUGCUCUAAUAAUCUGUGUGUGCCUGCUUUCCUCUCAUGGAGGAUGGCAGUCACAGACUUCACAUGACAUCCGUGUAGUCCUCCAGGAGACCUUGCUAGGUCCACUGUCACCAAAGAGCACACGUGGAGGGACUCCUGUAACCAAACACUUGCUGAGUCACAGCCCAGUUACCCCUGCGCUUAGCAAGGCAUGCCAGCCAUCUGUCACCAGCACAUCCUCCUCACUGCUCUGUGACUCUGCGGGGAAAACAACAGGAGGCAGAUUACAUUAACUGAGAAGCCAGGCUCUCGUGCAUCUUGACUCUGAGUAAUUCCUUGCCUUCUAACCAGUGCUAGAGCCUUUGGUUCAUCUUCAUUUGGCCGUUCGUUGGGGAAGAUAGUGACAUUCAGGUUCAAACAUUGAGCGCUUUGUCACUAAUGAGUGACUCCAAACAAAGCCUGCUCUGGCAAGACAUUGAUAGUGUUGUGCAAAGUGUCCCUGCUACAGACGAGUCAUCUAUACUGGCCUCCUCACCAGUACUCUAAGUAAACCAGAGUGUUCAAAAAAAAAAAAAGCAAAAUAGAGGGAACCCUGUUUCCUACAUUCUUGUUUCCCAACUAUGUCCAGUAAAGAGCAUGUGAGCAGAGAUCCUGUAGUGCCUCCUGUUCUAACUGACCUCCCUCCCGUGUUCUCCCUCCAUUUAGUUGUGACCUAGAGAUCUGCAGUCCUGGAGGGCACUUGUGGGGACACAGCUCCAAGAGAAGGGCGAGUUUCUUACCACGUUCCUGCACACCAAUCAGAUGCAGUGCUGCCCAGAUACGUCAGCCAACCUGGGCUUGUGCAAGAAGCUUGCUGGGGGUGUGUGUUUGCAUACCAUGUACUCAUGCAAGAUUUCACAAACUCUGUGCUGCUUACAGCCAGACCUUCACCACUAGAUUCCUUGCCCUCCUCUCUUGCAUAUUUGAAAGGCUGUUUUCCCUAUUAGCUCCCCUCAAGGACAAGGCACCACACGGCAAUCUGACUGCCCUACUUCAUUCUAAAGUGAUGAAAGAGUGUGGAGUGGAUGGGGCCUUUUUUACUCUGGAGGAAAAAAGUGAACUCAAUGCCAGGCACGGAUCCCAGGCUGUGGAGUUCAAAUCGUACUCUGAGCACAUAAUUCCCAUUUGUGUUUGCGUGCAUGCAGGG